rnacentral:rRNA from 1 species
GGGAGCAACAGGGCUUAGAUACCCUGGUAGUCCACGCCGUAAACGUUGGGAACUAGAUGUGGGGACCAUUCCACGGUCUCCGUGUCGUAGCUAACGCAUUAAGUUCCCCGCCUGGGGAGUACGGCCGCAAGGCUAAAACUCAAAGGAAUUGACGGGGGCCCGCACAAGCGGCGGAGCAUGCGGAUUAAUUCGAUGCAACGCGAAGAACCUUACCAAGGCUUGACAUAUACGAGAACGCGCUGGAGACAGCGAACUCUUUGGACACUCGUAUACAGGUGGUGCAUGGUUGUCGUCAGCUCGUGUCGUGAGAUGUUGGGUUAAGUCCCGCAACGAGCGCAACCCUCGUCUUAUGUUGCCAGCACGUCAUGGUGGGAACUCAUGGGAUACUGCCGGGGUCAACUCGGAGGAAGGUGGGGAUGAGGUCAAAUCAUCAUGCCCCUUAUGUCUUGGGCUUCACGCAUGCUACAAUGGCCGGUACAAUGGGCUGCGAUACCGCAAGGUGGAGCGAAUCCCAAAAAGCCGGUCUCAGUUCGGAUUGAGGUCUGCAACUCGACCUCAUGAAGUCGGAGUCGCUAGUAAUCGCAGAUCAGCAACGGUGCGGUGAAUACGUUCCCGGGCCUUGUACACACC